GUAUUUAAUUUUCCUUCUUUUGCUGCAGCAGUACAUUUAUUGUGCUAAUAUAACAGUACAGCCAGUGUCUAUUAAUACAACACUCAACUCUACUGUUGUCUUCUCUUGUGAAGUUAUUGCUGAUGAUCUUAGUUUCAGAGUCAAUAAUGUAUCAGCUACUGACACAAAUGUUACGGAUAAAGGAUUCAGUGUAACAACAAGUAAUAAUGGUGGUACUAGAAGAGCAGAGCUACAAGCAAUAGCUUAUGAAUAUAAUAAUAAUACUGAAGUGAGGUGUAGAGCUAGUACUGAUGAUCCUCCUGAAAUAAUGUUCAGUGAUACAGCAAUACUAAUGAUACAAGGUCUAUUGGAUAGUGUUGUUGAUCUGGAUUAUACCUUUAUU